rnacentral:pre_miRNA from 1 species
ACCCCGCAGGCUGGGCCGCCCCCAGGCUGGGCUGGGUGGGUAUCUCUUCGAAAGGCUCACCCUCAAGCUCGACUAGGAGC